GGAAGGGUCGCAUAGUCUGGUCUAGUGCGCGCGACUGGAAAUCGCGUAGGCGGUAACACGCCUCGAGGGUUCGAAUCCCUCCCCUUCCGCCA
rnacentral:tRNA from 1 species